GACGUAGGGCGCGAGCGUUGUCCGGAUUUAUUGGGCGUAAAGAGCUCGUAGGCGGUCUGUCGCGUCUGCCGUGAAAACCCGAGGCUUAACCUCGGGCUGGCGGUGGAUACGGGCAGACUAGAGGUAGGUAGGGGAGAAUGGAAUUCCCGGUGUAGCGGUGAAAUGCGCAGAUAUCGGGAGGAACGCCGGUGGCGAAGGCGGUUCUCUGGGCCUUACCUGACGCUGAGGAGCGAAAGCAUGGGGAGCGAACAGG
rnacentral:rRNA from 1 species